rnacentral:rRNA from 1 species
UACGAAGGGGGCUAGCGUUGUUCGGAUUUAUUGGGCGUAAAGAGCGUGUAGGCGGCUUCACAGGUCCGCUGUGAAAACUCGAGGCUCAACCUCGAGCUGUCGGUGGAAACCGUGUGGCUAGAGUCCGGAAGAGGAGAGUGGAAUUCCCGGUGUAGCGGUGAAAUGCGCAGAUAUCGGGAAGAACACCCGUGGCGAAGGCGGCUCUCUGGGAC